rnacentral:rRNA from 1 species
CAAUAGCGUAUAUUAAAGUUGUUGCAGUUAGAACGCUCGUAGUCGGAUUUCAGGGCGUUCCGACCGGUCUGCCGAUGGGUAUGCACUGGCCGGAGUGUCCUUUUUGCCGGAGACCGUGCCUACUCUUAACUGAGCGGGGGCGGGAGACGGCACUUUUACUUUGAAAAAAUCAGAGUGUUUCAAGCAGGCAGCUCGCUCUUGCAUGGAUUAGCAUGGGAUAAUGAAAUAGGACUUUGGUGCUAUUUUGUUGGUUUCGAACACCGAAGUAAUGAUGAGAAGGGACAGUCAGGGGCACUCGUAUUCCGCAGAGAGAGGUGAAAUUCUCAGACCCGCGGAAGACGAACCACUGCGAAAGCAUUUGCCAGGGAUGUUUUCACUGA